rnacentral:lncRNA from 10 species
CGCUUGAACCCAAGAGGCAGAGGUUGCAAGGAGCCAAGAUCAGACUACUGCACUCCAGCCUGGGUGACAGAGCGUGCUGGGCUUGCCUUGGGAAGAUGGCCAAUACUGAUUAUCUAAAUUUUUUCUAAGUACCUGUGUUUAAUAGUGAGCCUUUGGGAGGCUAGGCGGGAGGAUCAUGAGGUCAGAAGUUUGAGAACAGCCUGACCAACAUGGUGAAACCCCGUCUGUACUAAAAAUACGAAAAUUAGCCGAGCCAAGUGUCAUGGCACACGCCUGUAAUCCCAGCUAUUCAGGAGGC